rnacentral:snRNA from 1 species
AUACCUUUCUCGGCCUUUUGGCUAAGAUCAAGUGUAGUAUCUGUUCUUAUCAGUUUAAUAUCUGAUACGUGGACCAAUGGUCCACACGAUAUUAAAUUAAUUUCUUUUGGGGGAGGGUCCGCCACAGUAGCUUGCUAUUGGGGCUCUCACGUGUCGCCCAAGCGUUGCACUAUUGCAUGGGCCUGGCGCACCCCAC